CGACCCCAACUACAACGAGACCCCUUCAUUUCUCAGUGGAGUGGGGUGUUGGUGUUUGGAGCAGCUCGUUGGCCAAGGUGGAGGCAUGGGUAUGGUAUGGGAUUU